rnacentral:rRNA from 1 species
AGUGAACGCUGGCGGCGUGCCUAAUACAUGCAAGUCGAACGGAGAUUAAGUAGCUUGCUAUUUAAUCUUAGUGGCGCACGGGUGAGUAAUGUAUAGCUAAUCUGCCCUACACUAGAGGACAACAGUUGGAAACGACUGCUAAUACUCUAUACUCCUGUCUUACAUAAGUUAGAUAGGGAAAGUUUUUCGGUGUAGGAUGAGGUUAUAUUGUAUCAGCUAGUUGGUGAGGUAAUGGCUCACCAAGGCUAUGACGCAUAACUGGUCUGAGAGGAUGAUCAGUCACACUGGAACUGAGACACGGUCCAGACUCCUACGGGAGGCAGCAGUAGGGAAUAUUGCUCAAUGGGGGAAACCCUGAAGCAGCAACGCCGCGUGGAGGAUGACACUUUUCGGAGCGUAAACUCCUUUUGUUAGGGAAGAAUAAUGACGGUACCCAACGAAUAAGCACCGGCUAACUCCGUGCCAGCAGCCGCGGUAAUACGGAGGGUGCAAGCGUUACUCGGAAUCACUGGGCGUAAAGGACGCGUAGGCGGAUUAUCAAGUCUCUUGUGAGAUCCUAUGGCUUAACCAUAGAACUGCUUGGGAAACUGAUAAUCUAGAGUGAGGGAGAGGCAGAUGGAAUUGGUGGUGUAGGGGUAAAAUCCGUAGAGAUCACCAGGAAUACCCAUUGCGAAGGCGAUCUGCUGGAACUCAACUGACGCUAAUGCGUGAAAGCGUGGGGAGCAAACAGGAUUAGAUACCCUGGUAGUCCACGCCCUAAACGAUGUAUACUAGUUGUUGCUAAGCUAGUCUUGGCAGUAAUGCACCUAACGGAUUAAGUAUACCGCCUGGGGAGUACGGUCGCAAGAUUAAAACUCAAAGGAAUAGACGGGGACCCGCACAAGCGGUGGAGCAUGUGGUUUAAUUCGAAGAUACGCGAAGAACCUUACCCGGACUUGAUAUCUAACAAAUCAUCCAGAGAUGGAAGAGUGUCUGCUUGCAGAAAUGUUAAGACAGGUACUGCACGGCUGUCGUCAGCUCGUGUCGUGAAAUGUUGGGUUAAGUCCCGCAACGAGCGCAACCCACGUCAUUAGUUGCUAACAGUUCGGCUGAGCACUCUAAUGAGACUGCCUUCGUAAGGAGGAGGAAGGUGUGGACGACGUCGAGUCAUCAUGGCCCUUAUGUCCGGGGCGACACACGUGCUACAAUGGCAUAUACAAUGAGAAGCAAUAUCGCGAGAUGGAGCAAAUCUAUAAAAUAUGUCCCAGUUCGGAUUGGAGUCUGCAACUCGACUCCAUGAAGCCGGAAUCGCUAGUAAUCGUAGAUCAGCCAUGCUACGGUGAAUACGUUCCCGGGUCU